UUGAGAACUUCAGAUUCUAACUCAUUCUGUACCCAAUCCCUCAACCACCAUCAUCAGUGGCAGCCUGUUCUAUAUUCUUAAGGUCCCUUGGAGCCCUGUGUCCCAAAUCCUAGCAUGUCCUCUUUUCCCCUUCCUUUUCCUCACAGUUUCCUCAGCUCCCCAGCCCCUGAUUUUCUUCCUGUCCCCAGGAAACCAGAGUUGUGGAGCCAGGAUGAAGUAGAGCAAGCUGGACGCCUAGUGUUCACUCUGUCUACUGAGGCAAUUUCCUUGAUCCCCAGGGAGGCCUUGGGUCCAGAGACCCUGGAGCGGCUUCUAGAAAAGCAGCAGAGCUGGGAGCAGAGCAGAGUUGGACAGCUGUGUAGGGGGCCACAGCUGGCUGCCAAGAAAGCAGCCCUGGUAGCAGGGGUUGUACGACCAGCUGCUGAGGAUCUUCCAGAACCUGUGCCAAAUUGUGCAGAUGUACGAGGGACAUUCCCAGCAGCCUGGUCUGCAACCCAGAUUGCAGAGAUGGAGCUCUCAGACUUUGAGGACUGCCUGACACUAUUUGCAGGGGACCCAGGACUUGGGCCUGAGGAACUGCGGGCAGCCAUGGGCAAAGCAAAACAGUUGUGGGGUCCCCCCCGGGGAUUUCGUCCUGAGCAGAUCCUGCAGCUCGGUCGGCUCUUAAUAGGUCUAGGAGAUCGGGAACUACAGGAGCUGAUCCUAGUGGACUGGGGAGUGCUGAGCACCCUGGGGCAGAUAGAUGGCUGGAGCUCCACUCAGAUCCGUGUUGUGGUCUCCAGUUUCCUAUGGCAGAGUGGUCGGCAUGUGAGCCACCUGGACUUCAUUCAUCUGACAGCGCUGGGUUAUACGCUCUGUGGACUGCGGCCAGAGGAGCUCCAGCACAUCAGCAGUUGGGAGUUUAGCCAAGCAGCUCUCUUCCUGGGCACCCUACAUCUCCAGUGCUCUGAAGAACAACUGGAGGUUCUGGCCCACCUCCUUGUACUGCCUGGUGGCUUUGGCCCAAUCAGUAACUGGGGGCCUGAGAUCUUCACUGAAAUUGGCACCAUAGCAGCUGGGAUCCCAGACCUGGCUCUUUCAGCACUGCUGCGGGGACAGAUCCAGGGCCUUACUCCUCUUGCCAUUUCUGUCAUCCCUCCUCCUAAAUUUGCUGUGGUGUUUAGUCCCACCCAACUAUCUAGUCUCACCAGUGCUCAGGCUGUGGCUGUCACUCCUGAGCAAAUGGCCUGAGUCCUGAGCAGCGACGAGCAGUUGCAUGGGCCCAGCAUGAGGGGAAGGAGAGCCCAGAACAGCAAGGUCGAAGUACAGCCUGGGGCCUCCAGGACUGGUCACGACCUUCCUGGUCCCUGGUAUUGACUAUCAGCUUUCUUGGCCACCUGCUCUGAGCCUGUCUCUACAGUAGAAGGAGAUUGUGGGGAGAGAAAUCUUAAGUCAUAAUGAAUAAAGUGCAAACAGAAGUGCAUCCUGAUUAUUUUCAGAAGCUGAUGAGGAAUAUGGGUAAAAUGUUAAUGCUUUCCACCCACCUGAGAAUCAGUGUUCCCAGGAUGCCAUAUCUGGAGUCUCUUUCCAUCAUAAAUAAUCCCACUGCCUCUUUUCAUUUCCUGAAGCCUGCUCCCCUCCUCACCCCACCAUUAGAAAUAACAUAGACAGCUGCAGCAUAGCAAGGAGUCUUUACUAGGAUGGAGGCAGGGGAUGCGGGGGCAGGUCCAGAGCAAGUAGAAUGGGCCAUCAUUAGAAUGAGCAGAACU